GAUGAACGCUGGCGGCGUGCCUAAUACAUGCAAGUCGAGCGAACGGACGAGAAGCUUGUUUCUCUGGUGUUAGCGGCGGACGGGUGAGUAACGCGUGGAUAACCUACCUAUGAGAGUGGGAUAACUUCGGGAAACCGUAGCUAAUACCGCAUAAUAUCUUGAACCGCAUGGUUCAAGAGUGAAAGACGCUCUUGCUUUCACUAAUAGAUAGAUCCGCGCUUCAUUAGCUAGUUGGUAAGUUAACGGCUUACCAAGGCAACGAUGCAUAGCCGACCUGAGAGGGUGAUCGGCCACACUGGAACUGAGCCACGGUCCAGACUCCUACGGGAGGCAGCAGUAGGGAAUCUUCCGCAAUGGGCGAAGGCCUGACGGAGCAACGCCGCGUGAGUGAUGAAGGUCUUCGGAUCGUAAAACUCUGUUAUUAGGGAAGAACAUAUGUGUAAGGAACUGUGCACAUCUUGACGGUAACUAAUCAGAAAGCCACGGCUAACUACGUG
rnacentral:rRNA from 1 species